AAGUCGUAACAAGGUCUCCGUAGGGGAACCUGCGGAGGGAUCAUUUCCAUAAAAAAGUGUCGUUGAUGUGUGUAAAAGCAUAUUGACUUCACUUUCAAAAAAGUUGGUUGUGUUCUCUUUUUUAUAAGAAACUUGGAUUUGAGAAGGGGGGUUCAAGGAGUGGUUGAUUGAUAGGGGGAUUUGAUAAGGGGAAUUUACUUUCUCUUGUCAGCCUCUUGAUAUUCACUUCUUGCCUUUUUCUCAAAAGCCCAUGUUUUCUUAUCUCUAAACAUGUAAUGCAAGUAUCCUUAACAUUGAUUGUUUAUUAUUCUAAACAAAUAGUACAACUAUCAACGGCGGAUCUCUUGGUUCGU
rnacentral:misc_RNA from 1 species